UCUGACCCUGGAGGCAUUAAAAGUAUGGCUUCCAUGUAACAUAUGCAUCACUAUGGUGACAAAGAGAAGUAGGAUCACUGUUCUGACCUAUGAACAUCUGAAUGAUUAUUAGCCUAGCAUU
ensembl:snoRNA LOC120101352 small nucleolar RNA SNORA17